GUACACGCCGUAAACGAUGGAUACUAGCUGUUGGAAGCAAUUUCAGUGGCUAAGCGAAAGUGAUAAGUAUCCCACCUGGGGAGUACGUUCGCAAGAAUGAAACUCAAAGGAAUUGACGGGGGCCCGCACAAGCGGUGGAGCAUGUGGUUUAAUUCGAUGAUACGCGAGGAACCUUACCAAGGCUUAAAUGUAGAUUGACCGAUUUGGAAACAGAUCUUUCGCAAGACAAUUUACAAGGUGCUGCAUGGUUGUCGU
rnacentral:rRNA from 1 species